ensembl:misc_RNA
UAUCCGAGAGUAAUUCUGCCUCUCAUCACCUUAUUUCCACUGAUGAGGACAGGUGGUUUCGGGAGC